rnacentral:misc_RNA from 1 species
ACAUUGAUUUUAUUUUUUAUGUUUUUAGAUGUUCAUGUUUUUGAAUGUUUUAUUCAAAUAAUAUAAAAAAUAAAAUAUAUAUUGACAUGGAUUAAACAAAGAUAUAUAUUAUUCUAUGUUGUAUAAACAAAUUGGCAAAAUAGAGAUGGAAGAUAAAAAUAUGGUCAAAGUAAUAAGAGUCUAUGGUGAAUGCCUAGGAGCUUUAAGGCGAAGAAGGUCGUGGUAAGCUGCGAAAAGCUUGGGGGAGAAGCAAACAUUUAUUGAUCCCAAGAUUACCGAAUGGAGUAAUCCAGCUAGCAAGAUGCUAUGCAUAUCUA